rnacentral:rRNA from 1 species
UACAGAGGGUGCGAGCGUUGUUCGGAAUUAUUGGGCGUAAAGGGCGCGUAGGCGGUGCGGUAAGUCACCUGUGAAAUCUCCUGGCUCAACUGGGAGCUUGCAGGCGAAACUGCCGUGCUGGAGUGUGGGAGAGGUGCGUGGAAUUCCCGGUGUAGCGGUGAAAUGCGUAGAGAUCUGGAGGAACACCGAUGGCGAAGGCAGCCUUCUGGGCCAACACUGACGCUCAUGCACGAAAGCGUGGGGAGCAAACAGG